CCGUAUCCGUAAUCUGUGCAUUUGCCUCUAUUUGGGUAUAUUCGAAUUUUUCAAGUGAAAAAGUGUUAAAGAGCAAUUUUUAUUGCUUAAUUCAUAAAAAUAUAUUGGUUAAUGAGGAAGAACAAAUUUUACCCAAAUUCCUAAAUUAUCUGAAAAAGUAAGCAGAAUUUGGCAGAUUGUUUCUAACGAAACUAAUCAUGGAUAUUUUUGAGUCAUUACUUUCAAAACCAACAGAGAAUAAUGAUGUGGCCUAUUGUUGAAGAAUAGGAGCAGGUAUUCAUACAAAUAUGGUGAUAGAGAGCUUGAAUAAAUAUCUUAAAUCUAAUAAAAUAGAAGGAAAAGAAGAUAAGAGUUGAAAAGCUAUCAGAUUUGUUGGAAGAAAUAGUUGAUGAGAAGAUGUGGAUGAAAAUUAUGAGAAAUGAAAGACCUAACUCCAACAACUAUCAACAAAAAAAUUCUGUAGAAUCUCAUAAAAAAGCAGAAACAAUGAAAGACUUAAUAGAGGAGGUCUGUAUAUGAUGAUAAAUAUUAGAAUACACAAUUUAUAUCAUAAUGUGAUCCAGAUUGUGGUUUAGGAUAUUGUAGUCAUUGUUAAAUAUGCUUGCACAAAUAUAAAUAAUCAAUUCUGUUUCAGAUGAUGACAACAAUUUAGAAAUUAAUGAGCGAUCAAUAAGUUAACCAUAAUGAAGAUGUUGGAUAUUUCAUAGAUGAAACCAUUUCUAGUUCACAAAAUUUCACAUCUAUAAACAAUGACACAGAAAAUGAUUUGCUGAAAUGUGUAAAACAAUUGAAGACUCUCAAUCCAUAAGGAGAGAGGAGAUUAUUUGCAACUAUCAAUGGAAAAUUUUCCAAACAUAAGGUCAAUGCCAAGAAGAACUAACAUCUAAGAAGUGAAAAUUGAGAAGCAAAUCUAUUUCCAAAGAAAAAAAUGAAUACAGAGACUACCAGAACUUCAUAGCAAAUAAUUUAGAACAUUGAGAUGAGAUUGACAAAAAAUAGAGGUAACAAAUUCUACCUGAACCAGCAUGUUACACAUAUAAGAGACGUACAAUGUUCAAAUGUGGAUAGAAGAACCAGUCAAUAUCAAAAUAAAAUAUGAUAUACAUCCUUUACAUAAAUUAAUGAAAUUAAUUAUAAUUAAUAUAUUAUAUA